rnacentral:miRNA from 1 species
GACCCGCGGGCGCUCUCCAGUCCU